rnacentral:rRNA from 1 species
UACAGAGGGUGCAAGCGUUGUUCGGAAUCAUUGGGCGUAAAGGGCGUGUAGGCGGUUUGUUAAGUCAUGUGUGAAAUCCCUCGGCUCAACCGGGGAACGACGCAUGAAACUGGCAAGCUAGAGUACCAAAGAGGGGGGUGGAAUUCCCGGUGUAGCGGUGAAAUGCGCAGAUAUCAGGAAGAACACCAAUGGCGAAGGCAGCUCUCUGGGACGGUACUGACGCUGAGACGCGAAAGCGUGGGGAGCGAACAGG